AUUGAACGCUGGCGGCAUGCCUUACACAUGCAAGUCGAACGGCAGCAUAGGAGCUUGCUCCUGAUGGCGAGUGGCGAACGGGUGAGUAAUAUAUCGGAACGUGCCCUAGAGUGGGGGAUAACUAGUCGAAAGACUAGCUAAUACCGCAUACGAUCUACGGAUGAAAGUGGGGGAUCGCAAGACCUCAUGCUCCUGGAGCGGCCGAUAUCUGAUUAGCUAGUUGGUGGGGUAAAAGCCUACCAAGGCAACGAUCAGUAGCUGGUCUGAGAGGACGACCAGCCACACUGGGACUGAGACACGGCCCAGACUCCUACGGGAGGCAGCAGUGGGGAAUUUUGGACAAUGGGGGCAACCCUGAUCCAGCAAUGCCGCGUGAGUGAAGAAGGCCUUCGGGUUGUAAAGCUCUUUUGUCAGGGAAGAAACGGUAGUAGCGAAUAACUACUACUAAUGACGGUACCUGAAGAAUAAGCACUGGCUAACUACGUGCCAGCCGCCGCGGUAA
rnacentral:rRNA from 1 species